GUGCGCGAGUGCACAUGCACGUGUUGUGUUGUGUUUCCUCCAUAAGAAAUUCUUUUCCUGGAUUUGUGAUCCCUGUGGAACAUUAAGAACCUCUCCGAUUGAAUCUCAGGGAGGAACCGGAGGUAUGAAUGACAACUGUUUGAGAAGAAGGUCCCAAAUCCCUCUCUUAAAACCUUGGGAUUGUGCUUGAGACUCAGCCCCGAUGUGUUCCGUGGUGAGUCACUCACCUGGUUUACCCACACUGUAUGCUCCCCCUACCUGCCCCUACCUUGUCAUAAGUGCUGAGGAUUGAACCCAUGGCCUCGUUGCAUGUCAGGGCUCCAGUGCAGAUUUAGAUCCACCUUCUGGAUGCUUUGGUCCCUGGAACAAGGCAGCAGGCUCUUGCUAUCAAGAACCUGUCCCUGAGAAGGGAUGCUGUGUAACCAACCAGCCACCUCGUGCUUCUGCCACUGUUGCUUCCCCACUGUGAUAGACUGUGCACACUCAAACUGCAAGCCAAAAUAAACCCCACCCUCCUUAGUUGCUUUUCCCAGGAAUUUUGUCACAGCAGUGCUAACAUAAGCCAAGCUUGGGGUUAGGGUCAUUAACCCUAAGAGGGAAAAAAAUGUCUGUUCAAAGAAAGAGUUAUAAACAAAUAAUAGACAUUAAUAGAGUGGCUUUAAGGUAA
rnacentral:lncRNA from 1 species